UCUUGCUGCUGCUAUAAAUGUUGCUUUGUCUGGUUCUGAACCUUCAGAUUCCAUUAUGGUAACAGUUUUGUGCAAGCCAUUAAACUUCUUUAUAUUUUUUCUCUUAAAUGCACAUCUUUAUAUGAGUAUAUUUACCUCAACUUUAGACCAGGUACAACUUGAAAAUGUACCUCGGGUUGUAAAUGCGCUAUGAACUCAGAUGGAUAAGCUGAAAUCAGCUCCCAAUGUUAUAAUUAUGACUACGUCCAAUAUAACUGCUGCUAUUGGUAAGCCUAUAAUUCAUUUCACAUUGGUUCCUUAUUCUGAUUUUAGUUUUAGCAGAUAUGGUUUACUUCAAAUUGCUGAUCAACUUGAAUUUGAUGAGAGUAGAGUCCAGGAAGCUCUUGAGUGCUUCUAAUCGAAUCAGUUUUUGAAUCAAAAUGCUAGCUCUAGAGUGCUUUUAAACAAAUAUUUUUGAGUUGAAUUGCUAUUCAAGUAACGUGAAUUUGAUAUUAUGUUCCAUUUCAAAAGUAUGCUACCAACUUGACUUGCUUAAAAUCAUCUACUCCCGAGGUUAAGUCUCUAAAAUGUUCUGUUUUUUAUUUGAUAGAAUCAUAGAAUUCGAGGGUUGCUUGAGAAGUGUACUUCAGACCAUGAAGUACGCAUGGAAACAUUGCAUAAUGAGUUACGUGAAAGAGCCAUCUGAGACGCAAAGUGGCUCCAAAUUCAAAUAAACUCUUCGGAUGCCAACUACACUUUUAGGAACGUUGAAUUGCCUAUAGAAUUGCAACCGCUGGCCUUGACUAGUGAAGAAGUUGACGUUCUUAGAGGAAAAUAUAUCAAAAGAUUAACCGCUGUUCUUGUACAGCACAUACCAGCUUUCUGGAAAGUGGCACUUUCUGUUUUUAGUGGGAACUUCGCAAAGGAUGGCAAUGGGAAGGAAGAAUACACGGAUGAUGAC